AGAACGAACGCUGGCGGCAUGCCUAACACAUGCAAGUCGGACGCUUUCGGGGGUUUCGGCCUCCGAGGGAGUGGCGGACGGGUGAGUAGCGCGUGGGAACCUGCCCCUUUGUGGGGGAUAACCGAGGGAAACUUCGGCUAAUACCGCAUGCGCCCGGGGGUAACUCCGGGGAAAGAUUUAUCGCAGAGGGAGGGGCCCGCGUCGGAUUAGGUAGUUGGUGGGGUAACGGCCUACCAAGCCGGUGAUCCGUAGCUGGUCUGAGAGGAUGAUCAGCCACACUGGGACUGAGACACGGCCCAGACUCCUACGGGAGGCAGCAGUGGGGAAUAUUGGACAAUGGGCGCAAGCCUGAUCCAGCAAUGCCGCGUGAGUGAUGAAGGCCUUAGGGUUGUAAAGCUCUUUCGGCGGGGACGAUGAGUGACGGUACCCGCAGAAGAAGCCCCGGCUAACUUCGCGCCAGCAGCCGC
rnacentral:rRNA from 1 species